UACGAAGGGUGCAAGCGUUGCUCGGAAUUAUUGGGCGUAAAGGGUAGGUAGGUGGUGACAUUUGUCUGGGGUGAAAUCCCUGAGCUUAACUCAGGAAGUGCCUUGGAAACGGUGUCACUAGAGUGGUGGAGAGGUUCGCAGAAUUCUUGGUGUAGCGGUGAAAUGCGUAGAGAUCAAGAGGAAUACCAGAGGCGAAGGCGGCGAACUGGACACUAACUGACACUAAACUACGAAAGCGUGGGGAGCAAACAGG
rnacentral:rRNA from 1 species